rnacentral:rRNA from 1 species
GAUGAACGCUGGCGGCGUGCUUAACACAUGCAAGUCGAACGAUGAAGCCCAGCUUGCUGGGUGGAUUAGUGGCGAACGGGUGAGUAACACGUGAGCAACCUGCCCCUGACUCUGGGAUAAGCGCUGGAAACGGCGUCUAAUACUGGAUAUGUCCCGUCACCGCAUGGUGUGCGGGUGGAAAGAUUUUUCGGUUGGGGAUGGGCUCGCGGCCUAUCAGCUUGUUGGUGAGGUAAUGGCUCACCAAGGCGUCGACGGGUAGCCGGCCUGAGAGGGUGACCGGCCACACUGGGACUGAGACACGGCCCAGACUCCUACGGGAGGCAGCAGUGGGGAAUAUUGCACAAUGGGCGGAAGCCUGAUGCAGCAACGCCGCGUGAGGGAUGACGGCCUUCGGGUUGUAAACCUCUUUUAGCAGGGAAGAAGCGAAAGUGACGGUACCUGCAGAAAAAGCACCGGCUAACUACG